GACGAACGCUGGCGGCGUGCUUAACACAUGCAAGUCGAACGGAAAGGCCCUGCUUGCCGGGUACUCGAGCGGCGAACGGGUGAGUAACACGUGGGUGAUCUGCCCUGCACUUCGGGAUAAGCCUGGGAAACUGGGUCUAAUACCGGAUAUGACCUUCCAUGUAGUGUGGGGGGUGGAAAGAUUUAUCGGUGUGGGAUGAGCCCGCGGCCUAUCAGCUUGUUGGUGGGGUAAUGGCCUACCAAGGCGUCGACGGGUAGCCGGCCUGAGAGGGUGGACGGCCACAUUGGGACUGAGAUACGGCCCAGACUCCUACGGGAGGCAGCAGUGGGGAAUAUUGCACAAUGGGCGGAAGCCUGAUGCAGCGACGCCGCGUGGGGGAUGACGGCCUUCGGGUUGUAAACCUCUUUCGACAGGGACGAAGCUUCGGUGACGGUACCUGUAUAAGAAGCACCGGCUAACUACGUG
rnacentral:rRNA from 1 species